rnacentral:sRNA from 1 species
AUGUGAGUUCUUCAAAAUUGUCAGACGACGUUUCCCUUCAGCUGGUUUGGAGCUCAUUUUCCAACUGCUUUACAAAAAAUAAUAAAAUUUCUGAAUGGGGCAGCGUGGAGAAAUCCUAAGAGAAAUAGCAUAAGAGCAUUUUGGAACACAUCCAGGAAAAGAUAACUUUCGACACACCUGUAGACGUUCGCCAGGUAAAGGUAAGAAAAAAUAUUGUAAAAUGCAUUUAUUUUAUUACAUCGCACUGGGUUGAACUUUGAGAGAAAACAUACCACUGGCGCAAGAUGCUCAAGGAGGGGUUAGGAGGGCUCACCUUUUGCCCCUCCCUCUCGUGGGCAUGGGCAUGGCAGCCCUGUGUCCACCAUGACCAUCAGCGGCCACCUGAGUUGUUUCUAAUGCCGGCUGUGGAGCAGUCGAAGACAUGUUCACCAGGUCGAGGGGAUCUGACUGAGUAUGAUACUCGGCAGACAGUUCUGCGAAAAAGUCAAUGUAUUUAAUACUGCAAAUGUUACUUGUACAGUAAGGAAUUUCUUUUAGAUU